UGGGGAAUAUUGCACAAUGGGGGAAACCCUGAUGCAGCGACGCCGCGUGAGGGAAGAAGGUUUUCGGAUUGUAAACCUCUGUCUUUGGUGACGAAAGAUGACGGUAGCCAAAGAGGAAGCUACGGCUAACUACGUGCCAGCAGCCGCGGUAAUACGUAGGUGGCAAGCGUUGUCCGGAAUUACUGGGUGUAAAGGGAGCGUAGGCGGGAAGACAAGUUGAAUGUUUAAACUAUCGGCUCAACCGAUAAUCGCGUUCAAAACUGUUUUUCUUGAGUGAAGUAGAGGCAGGCGGAAUUCCUAGUG
rnacentral:rRNA from 1 species